GGAAUGGACUGUAGCUCAAUGUCAGAGUAUCUGUUUUGCAUGCAGAAGGUUGCUGGUUCAAUCCCCAGCUCCUCCA